AGAGUUUGAUCCUGGCUCAGGAUGAACGCUAGCGACAGGCCUAACACAUGCAAGUCGAGGGGCAGCGAAGAGGUAGCAAUACCUUUGUCGGCGACCGGCGCACGGGUGAGUAACACGUAUGCAAUCCACCUGUAACAGGGGGAUAACCCGGAGAAAUCCGGACUAAUACCCCAUAAUAUGGGCGCUCCGCAUGGAGAGCCCAUUAAAGAGAGCAAUUUUGGUUACAGACGAGCAUGCGCUCCAUUAGCCAGUUGGCGGGGUAACGGCCCACCAAAGCGACGAUGGAUAGGGGUUCUGAGAGGAAGGUCCCCCACAUUGGAACUGAGACACGGUCCAAACUCCUACGGGAGGCAGCAGUGAGGAAUAUUGGUCAAUGGUCGGCAGACUGAACCAGCCAAGUCGCGUGAGGGAAGACGGCCCUACGGGUUGUAAACCUCUUUUGUCGGAGAGUAAAGUACGCUACGUGUAGUGUAUUGCAAGUAUCCGAAGAAAAAGCAUCGGCUAACUCCGUGCCAGCAGCCGCGGUAAUACGGAGGAUGCAAGCGUUAUCCGGAUUUAUUGGGUUUAAAGGGUGCGUAGGCGGCACGCCAAGUCAGCGGUGAAAUUUCCGGGCUCAACCCGGAGUGUGCCGUUGAAACUGGCGAGCUAGAGUACACAAGAGGCAGGCGGAAUGCGUGGUGUAGCGGUGAAAUGCAUAGAUAUCACGCAGAACCCCGAUUGCGAAGGCAGCCUGCUAGGGUGAAACAGACGCUGAGGCACGAAAGCGUGGGUAUCGAACAGGAUUAGAUACCCUGGUAGUCCACGCAGUAAACGAUGAAUACUAACUGUUUGCGAUACAAUGUAAGCGGUACAGCGAAAGCGUUAAGUAUUCCACCUGGGGAGUACGCCGGCAACGGUGAAACUCAAAGGAAUUGACGGGGGCCCG
rnacentral:rRNA from 1 species